rnacentral:misc_RNA from 1 species
CCUUAAAGAAGCGUUCUUUGAAGUGCUCACACAGAUUGUCUGAUAGAAAGUGAAAAGCAAGGCGUCUUGCGAAGCAGACUGAUACGUCCCCUUCGUCUAGAGGCCCAGGACACCGCCCUUUCACGGCGGUAACAGGGGUUCGAAUCCCCUAGGGGACGCCACUUGCUGGUUUGUGAGUGAAAGUCGCCGACCUUAAUAUCUCAAAACUCAUCUUCGGGUGAUGUUUGAGAUAUUUGCUCUUUAAAAAUCUGGAUCAAGCUGAAAAUUGAAACACUGAACAACGAGAGUUGUUCGUGAGUCUCUCAAAUUUUCGCAACACGAUGAUGAAUCGAAAGAAACAUCUUCGGGUUGUGA